UGUUUCGGCUAGGGGGCCAUCCCGGCUUACCAACCCGAUGCAAACUGCGAAUACCGGAGAAUGUUAUCACGGGAGACACACGGCGGGUGCUAACGUCCGUCGUGAAGAGGGAAACAACCCAGACCGCCAGCUAAGGUCCCAAAGUCAUGGUUAAGUGGGAAACGAUGUGGGAAGGCCCAGACAGCCAGGAUGUUGGCUUAGAAGCAGCCAUCAUUUAAAGAAAGCGUAAUAGCUCACUGGUCGAGUCGGCCUGCGCGGAAGAUGUAACGGGGCUAAACCAUGCACCGAAGCUGCGGCAGCGACACUGUGUGUUGUUGGGUAGGGGAGCGUUCUGUAAGCCUGUGAAGGUGGCCUGUGAGGGUUGCUGGAGGUAUCAGAAGUGCGAAUGCUGACAUAAGUAACGAUAAAGCGGGUGAAAAGCCCGCUCGCCGGAAGACCAAGGGUUCCUGUCCAACGUUAAUCGGGGCAGGGUGAGUCGACCCCUAAGGCGAGGCCGAAAGGCGUAGUCGAUGGGAAACAGGUUAAUAUUCCUGUACUUGGUGUUACUGCGAAGGGGGGACGGAGAAGGCUAUGUUGGCCGGGCGACGGUUGUCCCGGUUUAAGCGUGUAGGCUGGUUUUCCAGGCAAAUCCGGAAAAUCAAGGCUGAGGCGUGACGACGAGGCACUACGGUGCUGAAGCAACAAAUGCCCUGCUUCCAGGAAAAGCCUCUAAGCAUCAGGUAACAUCAAAUCGUACCCCAAACCGACACAGGUGGUCAGGUAGAGAAUACCAAGGCGCUUGAGAGAACUCGGGUGAAGGAACUAGGCAAAAUGGUGCCGUAACUUCGGGAGAAGGCACGCUGACACGUAGGUGAAGUGAUUUACUCAUGGAGCUGAAGUCAGUCGAAGAUACCAGCUGGCUGCAACUGUUUAUUAAAAACACAGCACUGUGCAAACACGAAAGUGGACGUAUACGGUGUGACGCCUGCCCGGUGCCGGAAGGUUAAUUGAUGGGGUCAGCGCAAGCGAAGCUCCUGAUCGAAGCCCCGGUAAACGGCGGCCGUAACUAUAACGGUCCUAAGGUAGCGAAAUUCCUUGUCGGGUAAGUUCCGACCUGCACGAAUGGCGUAAUGAUGGCCAGGCUGUCUCCACCCGAGACUCAGUGAAAUUGAACUCGCUGUGAAGAUGCAGUGUACCCGCGGCAAGACGGAAAGACCCCGUGAACCUUUACUAUAGCUUGACACUGAACAUUGAGCCUUGAUGUGUAGGAUAGGUGGGAGGCUUUGAAGCGUGGACGCCAGUCUGC
rnacentral:rRNA from 1 species